AGAAUAGUUUUAGAUUUAGAGGAAAGUUGUGAGGACAAAAGUUCCUCAUAUUCCAUACCCAAUUUUCCUAAACGAGUAACAUCAUACUGUGGAUGCAUUACAUUAAGUCAUCAUAUCUCCUUAGUCUCUUUCUGGCUUUGGCAAUUUCUCAGAAAUUCUGUUGUUAUUGAUGACCUUGACAGUUUUGAGGAGCACUGCUCAGAUGGAAUCAGUCGUCUCACCAAGGAGUGCUGAUAUCUUUUAUUGGAAAAAUGGUAAUAGAAACCAAGAUAUGGAUGCUAGGUUCAAGAUUAUCACCAGUUUGCUCAGAUCAAAAUCUUUGAAGUCAUCUUUGAUACUUUUUAAAAAAUCUCACACGUGAAAUCCAUCAACAAAUCCUGUUAACUCCAUCUUCAAAAUGUGUUCAUAAUCCACCCAUUUCUUUCCAUUUAAAAAAAAUAUUUAUUUGUUUGAAAGAGAGAAAUCAAGAGACAGCGCAAGUGCGGGGA